AAGGAAUUAGUUAAUUAAUAACAUUGGUAUGUCAAGCCAAAAUAACUCACUUAAGUAUUCCUUU
rnacentral:tRNA from 1 species